GUAACGCGUGGGAACGUACCCUUCACUACGGAAUAGUCCCGGGAAACUGGGUUUAAUACCGUAUACGCCCUUCGGGGGAAAGAAUUUCGGUGAGGGAUCGGCCCGCGUUAGAUUAGUUAGUUGGUGGGGUAAUGGCCUACCAAGACUACGAUCUAUAGCUGGUUUGAGAGGAUGAUCAGCAACACUGGGACUGAGACACGGCCCAGACUCCUACGGGAGGCAGCAGUGGGGAAUCUUAGACAAUGGGGGCAACCCUGAUCUAGCGAUGCCGCGUGAGUGAUGAAGGCCUUAGGGUCGUAAAGCUCUUUCGCCUGUGAUGAUAAUGACAGUAGCAGGUAAAGAAACCCCGGCUAACUCCGUGCCAGCAGCCGCGGUAAUACGGAGGGGGUUAGCGUUGUUCGGAAUUACUGGGCGUAAAGCGCACGUAGGCGGAUUAGUCAGUCAGAGGUGAAAUCCCAGGGCUCAACCCUGGAACUGCCUUUGAUACUGCUAGUCUUGAGUUCGAGAGAGGUAAGUGGAAUUCCGAGUGUAGAGGUGAAAUUCGUAGAUAUUCGGAGGAACACCAGUGGCGAAGGCGGCUUACUGGCUCGAUACUGACGCUGAGGUGCGAAAGUGUGGGGAGCAAACAG
rnacentral:rRNA from 1 species